AUUGAACGCUGGCGGCAUGCUUUACACAUGCAAGUCGAACGGCAGCGCGGGCUUCGGCCUGGCGGCGAGUGGCGAACGGGUGAGUAAUACAUCGGAACGUGCCCAGUAGUGGGGGAUAGCUCGGCGAAAGCCGGAUUAAUACCGCAUACGACCUGAGGGUGAAAGCGGGGGAUCUUCGGACCUCGCGCUAUUGGAGCGGCCGAUGGCAGAUUAGCUAGUUGGUGGGGUAAAGGCCUACCAAGGCGACGAUCUGUAGCUGGUCUGAGAGGACGUCCAGCCACACUGGGACUGAGACACGGCCCAGACUCCUACGGGAGGCAGCAGUGGGGAAUUUUGGACAAUGGGCGAAAGCCUGAUCCAGCAAUGCCGCGUGUGUGAUGAAGGCCUUCGGGUUGUAAAGCACUUUUGGCGGGAACGAAAAGGACUGUGCCAAUACCACGGUUCGAUGACGGUACCCGCAGAAUAAGCACCGGCUAACUACGUG
rnacentral:rRNA from 1 species